ensembl:lncRNA
CAGCCCUUGGUGCCAAAAUGAGAGUGCUGUGCUUUUUUCCUGCUGAGUCCGCUGGCUCCCCUCCAUGGAGAAAAAUCCAAGGAAGGCUGCACUAUAAAGUUGUAGAGUCUGUAAAAAAGACGAAUCUGGCAGACACAGCCAGUCUUUGUCAUCACCCAAAACACCUAGUUACUUCCCUUGUCAGUGCCCUUCAAGGGCUCUGAGUUGAUCCCCAACAUAACUUCAAGUCCCUAACAUCCUAACAACUUCCCAGACUCGGGGCUCAACCCAGAGCCAUCCUGCCAGCACUCACUCUCUACUCUGCUGGAUCUGCUAACUCUGCCAAACUGCUUCCUCCUCAUCUCUGGCCUCCGGUGCUUUGCUGAGUGAGAUCCUAAUCUUCUUCAGGCUCAGCUCAAACACCACCUCUACAACGCCUGCCCAGGUUCUCCCCUUCCUCCAGACUCCGUAUGCUUACCGUAUGCCAACCCUUCCCCUUGGCACCUUCUAUUACAUCUCUCAUGAUAUAUACCCUAAUAAACUACUGUUUUCUGAGUUCCUCAUCCGUGCUAGGCACCGUGGUAAACCCUUUAAUAUACGGUGUGUCGUUUUACUCCUUCUAGCCACCCUGUGAGGGCGGUAUCAUCCCACUUUACAGAACUCGCCUAAGUUCGGCAACCGGGUUUGCAACUCUGCGAUUCCGGCGCUGCACAGAAGGUGGCCUACAACGGAGGUGGCGGAACUUUGCGUGUGUGCACGAGGCCUGGAGAUGAAAUGGAGGACUUGGCCUGACGCCAGGUAGUCACUGCUGAGGACCCCAACAACUCUGAACACCUGCGGGCUCUGUUAAGGUCCCAGGGAAAAAUGCAAGCGCUUCGGGGUCAGUUUGUGAUCCACAGAGCUGCGAAGACAGGCGUGACUUGUUUUGAUUCUCCUCUAAAAGCGUUCACCAUUAGAAUUACUGGAAAGGCUGUACAGAGACUCGUGAGCAGAGUUACCAGUAACUCUAAGACCAGCGUACCACAGGAAUUUCCAGAACUCCGUGAAGAGGCCGAAGGCUCGCCAAGUGCCAGCGCAACUUGGAAGAGGAACUAAGGAAGGAGACUGAGUCAACGAGUGAAACCAUGGGUUUUCUGCCCUUUACUUGAAAGAUUACUUUUUUGUUGUUGUUUUCUAGAUUUAAAGCUUCUGAAGCUAUCUACAGCUUACAGUAAUUUGAUAAAAAUAUACUUUUGUAAACAGGUGGGAAUAAUUUACUUUUCCCUCCCUGCUUAAUUCCUCUCAAAUUAAAAACCUUAUUCAUAUUUUUAACAGCAGUGUGGUUAUUUGCAUAAGCUCAGUAAGAAUCUGUUCUCUUUAAAAUAGACUGCAAGGGGAAAUGCUGGCCGAUCUGAAAGCAUUCCAGGGUGCCUGGCUCCAAGGGUCCCCAGCCUUGUAUGCAAAAAACCCAUGGCCCCUGCAGGCCUGGAGCCCGGCACAUGAAGUGUAUACCCAGGGCAUCCCGUCUGCUCUCCAGCCACCACAGGUUUCUGUUUUUUUUUUUUUUGUACCAGGGACCAAACUCUGGACCUUGUGCUUGCAAGGCAGGCGAUGGAACCACUGAGCUAAAUCCCAGGCACCUCCAGAGGUUUCUAAGUCCGAGGUUACUCCACAGCAAAUCUC